GGACGGAUCUCUUUGCUCUCCAUCGCAAAUACAGGAGAACCACCACAGACGAGGUCACGACCAGGGCUGGAAGACAAUCCCACGGUGGAGAAAGAUGAUGGUUGGGAAGAACCAAGACUUCUUGACUUGCAUCCUCCCCUCGAUCCAGACCCAUGAAGAGUGCUGAAGCCGCAUUUCCAUCAACGUAGGUUUCCGGUUGCAUCCUGUAACUCCAAUCAAUGGAUGCCGCUCAUCAGCGCCGGCUGCCUUUGGCCGACGCAGAUCAGGAUCUCUCUUCUCUCAGCUGAAGGUGCCACCACCAACAGUAAGUGAGACCUUCUCUCUCUCUCUCUCUUUCCUCUUCUGGAAAAACCUUCUCUCCUUCCACCCUUCGAAAGUUUUUUUUUUGUUUUGUUAUGCAAUGUGCUUUCCAGGC
rnacentral:lncRNA from 1 species